rnacentral:SRP_RNA from 1 species
GCUGGGCGUGGUGGCUCACGCCUGUAAUCCCAGUACUUUGGGAGGCUGAGGUGGGAGGAUUACUUGAGCCCAGGAGUUCGAGAUCAGCCUGGGCAACACAGUGAGACUUUGCCUCUA